rnacentral:rRNA from 1 species
GAUGAACGCUAGCUACAGGCUUAACACAUGCAAGUCGAGGGGAAACGAUAGAGAAAGCUUGCUUUUUCUAGGCGUCGACCGGCGCACGGGUGAGUAACGCGUAUCCAACCUGCCCAUCACUUGGGGAUAACCUUGCGAAAGUAAGACUAAUACCCAAUGACGUCUCUAGAAGACAUCUGAAAGAGAUUAAAGAUUUAUCGGUGAUGGAUGGGGAUGCGUCUGAUUAGCUUGCUGGCGGGGUAACGGCCCACCAAGGCGACGAUCAGUAGGGGUUCUGAGAGGAAGGUCCCCCACAUUGGAACUGAGACACGGUCCAAACUCCUACGGGAGGCAGCAGUGAGGAAUAUUGGUCAAUGGGCGAGAGCCUGAACCAGCCAAGUAGCGUGCAGGAUGACGGCCCUAUGGGUUGUAAACUGCUUUUAUAAGGGAAUAAAGUGAGCCACGUGUGGCUUUUUGCAUGUACCUUAUGAAUAAGGACCGGCUAAUUCCGUGCCAGCAGCCGCGGUAA